UCAAACAGAUUGAGCCCCGGUUAUUUUACAGAUGUAACAGAUCUUCCAAGGAUCCAUCGCGUGAGGAGUCAUGAAAAUGCAAGUUUGACACAGAAUUCAACCAAAGAACUCAACCAUAAAAUCCAAAGACUCACAUCAUAAUACUGAGAAAUUCAACCAUUGGCUCAUCGUAUUCUAGCAAGCCACAACUCAGUCCAAGCAGGCAAAACCACACCAAAAUUGCCAGUGGAAACAGAUAUUGUAUUGAAGGGAAAGGGGAACUGAAA